ensembl:lncRNA
UAAGUUUGGGAAUUUCUUUAGUUAUUAUUUUUUUUUUUGCAUUUUAGAAAUAAUCCAGAAAAUCUUCAGCAUCAGUGAAGCUAAAAGCAUGCUCAUUUUUAACAGCAGCAUAAAUAUUAAUCACAAUCACCAGUCAAGACUGAGGAUUUUAUUUGGUACAAUGUGUACAACCAUGCAACAAUUAUGUAAAAAUGGAAGUUAUUAUGAGCUGUAAUUAAUAUACUGUGUUACCAGCUGACUCAAAGCACUUUGCUCAGCAUCCUUAAUUUUAAAGACUUCAUCCGAAUAGUGGUAAAAUGUACACUAAAUUCAGUAAAGCACAUCAACAGCCCUAGGCUUUCUCCUCUGGUUGUGACUACCACUGAAUUUUAUUUCUGCUGAAAUCUUUCUAUGAAAAAAAAAAUACCAGUAUAAUUGCUGAUUUACCACCACUACUUAAUCUAAUUCAGUACUUAGUGGUCCAUUAACAUAACAGAAUUUGCAUUUUAUUUCACAGAAAAUGUUAUGACUCCACCUGCCUUAGUUCAGAAAACGUAUCAGAAACAGGAAAAAUGGUAUAAGCAGAGAAAUGACAAACCACUUACAUUUACUAAAACAACUUAAAUAUAAAAGGGGAAGGUGUAGUGGUAUUUGUAGAGUAUACAAUCUUUGCAAGUGAACUAAAAGGGUUCAAAUCCCCUCACAUCCUUCAGUUCCAUCACUCAGUUUCCAUUUUAUUGGGUUUCCAAAACUCAGAAAUAAUUUUCAAAUGUGCUGCUAUCACAUGCCAUUAUCCUUGUAAAAUUUUAUUCCUUGUGAAGACGGUGACAGAAAAUGUGCAAAGACAUAUGCAGGGAUAUAGUGCUUUAUCAAACUAUAACAUUCCUAAACAUAACUGCUUUCCUAUUGACUGGGACCUAAUCCAGACACUAGAGAUCAUAGAAAAAUUACAAGUUAUCACACCUUGCCCAGAGUGAGGUGAUCAAAAUAAUAACAAAAUAAGGAUACUUUGAUUGACAGUUUAUAUGUAUUUCUUUAUAUUUUUGCACUUCCUUUGAGGCUCAAAUCCUAAGGGUGACAGCUGUCAUUUUAAAAGUGACUCAGUGCAUUCCCUUACAGAGUCCCCUAACACAUGGAAAGGUCUUUGUUUCCCAGGGAACACUGACAGGUUAUGAUUUCCAGAGCUUUUAAUCAUUUUAGCAACACUUAUACACAUAUCUCAAUUACUGUAUUCAGUGAUGUUAAUAAUACAGCAAUCUGAGAGUGACAAAGAACACUCUUUUCUUAAAAACACAACUUUUCCAUCAAGAUUGGAAACAGAACAAAAACACUUUUGAAGAGCUGUUUUCUCCCAGACAAAUCAGUGUAAGUGCCAGGGUAUUUGGUCUGGCUAAGAUUAAUUUCAUUUUCCCCACAGCAGCCCUCACAGCACUGUGCUCUGCAGUGGUAGCUGGAAAGGUGUUGGUAACACACCAGUGUUCUGGCCCCUGCUGAGCCGGGCUGGCACAGCAUCAGUGCUGCCUUCCCAACAUCCUAUGCACACUCCUGCCCACAACAGUACUCUGGGGAUGGGAAAGACCUUGGCACAGGAUAUAGCCAGGACAGAUGACCAAAGGGGUAGUCUAUAUGAUAUCUUCUCAGACAUGAAAGAUAAGAGAAAGGAACAGGUGGGAGGGAUUAAUUAUUUAUGACAUUUGUCUUCUGGAGCAAGUGCUGCAUGCGCUGAAGUCCUACUUCCCAGAAAAGAACUGGACAUCACCUGCUGAUGGGAAGUAAAAAAUAAAUCUUUUGUUUUCCUUUGCUAAUGCAUGCAGUCUUGCUUUUGCUAUUUUAAACUGCCCUUAUCUUUUCCUAUUAGUGUUUUUUGCAUCUUGUUUUCUCCUCCUGUCCUCAUGGAGAGGGGACUGCUAGGCCGUUUGGUGGGCACCUGGACUGCAGCCAAGGUCGACCCACCACAACCAGUAUUUAUUGUAACAGAAAAAAAUUAUUUUCAUAAUACAUGUCUACAGAGCUUUUCUCCUCCUCUCCUGAGCUACAGGGAAGCUAUAAAUCAUUAAAACAUACAACCGAUAAAACAUGACAAGCUGGCAUCACACAAAUAAUUAAAAUCAAAGUCACUGCGCAGAAGUGAUAAUUUUGGUCAGGUACAGAGUAAUGGCCUUCACUGUGGUGCUUUUUCUGGUUGUGAUACCGAGCACUUGAAGCCCCCAAGGCUUCAGAAUAGAGGCAGCAGAUGUGUGUCUACCAGUAGAUGUGGUAGCUCUACCUCAUGACUAAUAUGCAGCUCAUUCAUUCCUUAUUGAACUGAGGCUGCAGUCCCCUUAUGUAAACCAGGUAUGUUUUUGCAGUGAUGUUACAAGGUAUCCACAUAGAAGCUGCAUAGCUUUUACAGAGCAAUGACACUGGGAUGUUUUGGAGGGGCUUUUUUGACAUCUAUAUUAUGUUCAUUAUGAACAGGAACCUGAGCAUCCAAAUAUAAACAUUUUAGAAUAAUAUAGAAAAGAUUUUCAGAAAAAAUAUUUUUACAGCAUCCUAUAUAUAUUUUUUUUAAUUAGAGGAAAUUUUAUUCUGAUACUUACUAUGAAAAGUAAGUAAAGCCCUAAUGCUCUGCAGUGUAAGAACAACUUAGCAGCACCUUAGUGACAGAACCCUUUCAGCUUUCAAACUAUAUUUUAAGAAGUCUCAAUUGAAGAUUUUUGUGCCAUCAGGCAGUACUUAGUACUAUUUAAUAUCAUCACAAUAGCAUUUGAAGACCCUAGCAAAGGAGUUACAUCUUCUUUUUAAAGCACUACUGAUAAGCAGUGAAAUGUUUCAUAUUGAAAAAGUAUUACAGAAAUGAAGCAAAGCAAAACAAAACAAUAUUUCAGAUAGUGAAAAUCUUAUUAUCUCCAGACCCAUCAAAACUGAAGUAAUGUGACAGAAUUUAUAGGUUAUGGUCUGCUCACGCAAUGUGUGCUGGAGCCAGGAAUUUGACUUGCAUUUCCCUGUUAUUCUAAUCCAGACCUUGAACUAUUGCAAUCACCUUUUCAUCUUCUUCAGGAAGAUCAGAUAGCUUAUGGAUCACAAAAGCAGUUCCUAGAAUUUAAACCUGUCCCACAACAGUUUAACCCCAGCCUUCAACCACUUCUCUGUACAUACUGUAUAAGCACUGCUAUUCUUCCAGCAGCAAAGUUGUCAGGAAGAGUGUUUCCCAUCAUUUUCUCAGGGGCCUUAGACCCCUAGGGUCCUUGACAUCUCUGUAUAUGUUCUCUUGAAAAAGAUAUGGACUAUUCAAAUGCUCUUCUGUAAAGUAAAAUAAGUGGCAGCUGGCACCAUACAGUUCUGUUAUAAUGAAAACAUGAGGUGGUUGCCAUUACACAGUCCUGCACUAAUGAGAACAGUAGGAGUCUAGCAUUACAAUGGUCUAAUGAAAACAGGAAAUGGCUGGCAUUAGAUUGGUAUAAUGAAAACAGGAGGUGGUUGGCAUUAUGCUUAUGCAAUAAAUAAAUUAAGAUUUCUGGCCCUACCAAUCUCAUCUAGAUUAUAUAUUAUUCCAGUAUGCAAGAGAGAAACUUCUAUAAAAUAUGGGACAGGGACAUUAAAGAUAAUUCUUUGUUACAUCACCUCAGAAGCAGAGUUGUGUCCUUUUCUUUUCAACUGUUUAUUUUUUUUUGGUGGUUAUACACAAGCCAAACAGGCACAUGGUUUAAAAAAAUGACACGUAACCUAUGCAGGCUCUUUUAUUUAAAAGUAGCCAAAAGUAGCUUGUUUUCUGGUGCCUGUCAUGCUUUAUUGUGAAAGGUUAAAAAUAGCUUAUCAAAAAGUGAAAACUGAUAUGACUGGACUUUUUUAAAUGAGUCUCACACUUAGUUCUCCCAAACUGGGCUAAGUGUGCAAUUGAUAAUAUUUUGGGAUGUUUAAUGCAAUACAGAGAAUGAGAUCAAUACUUGCUGAGAACUAAGGAGAAAAAAAAAAAAAAAA